AAGGGAACCAGUCUCCUCCAACGGUGCCCAUGGUGACCGCUCCAGGACAAACACACUGUCAGCUGACCCACAUCCUAGAUCCUUGACAACUGAGAAAAACUAAAGCAGAACAGAGACAAGCCAGGAUGGAAAAGGAUUGAUCGGGCUGUCGUCCAAUGGGAAAGACAAGCACAAUGACUAAGAAUAAGCCCAAGCAGAUUGCUGACAAGUAAAAACGAUGCCAUGUAGACGAAGCUGUUAAUAGGACUUAAGAAAGAGCAAGAAUGGAGAAAGGGAAGAACAGAGAGAAGAGAAAGAAAAAGAGGCAAUGUGAGGAAGAGAGAGGGGGAAAAGGGAAGCAAAGGAAGGGGGAGAGAAUGAGAGACAGACAGAUAUACGCACUCUCCCCUUUAUGAUU
rnacentral:lncRNA from 1 species